rnacentral:piRNA from 1 species
UCAGAUUGCUCAUUAAGCUCACAAUUUUCC